GAUGAACGCUGGCGGCGUGCCUAAUACAUGCAAGUCGAGCGAACAGACGAGGAGCUUGCUCCUCUGACGUUAGCGGCGGACGGGUGAGUAACACGUGGAUAACCUACCUAUAAGACUGGGAUAACUUCGGGAAACCGGAGCUAAUACCGGAUAAUAUGUUGAACCGCAUGGUUCAAUAGUGAAAGACGGUUUUGCUGUCACUUAUAGAUGGAUCCGCGCCGCAUUAGCUAGUUGGUAAGGUAACGGCUUACCAAGGCAACGAUGCGUAGCCGACCUGAGAGGGUGAUCGGCCACACUGGAACUGAGCCACGGUCCAGACUCCUACGGGACGCAGCAGCAGGGACUCUUCCGCAAUGGGCGAAAACCUUACGGAGCAACGCCGCGUGAGUUAAGAAGGUCUUCGGAUCGUAAAACUCUGUUACUAGGGAAGAACAAAUGUGUAAGUAACUAUGCACGUCUUGACGGUACCUAAUCAGAAAGCCACGGCUAACUACGUG
rnacentral:rRNA from 1 species